ACGUGGCACACGGCUCAGUAACACGUAGUCAACAUAACCAGAGGACGUGGAUAAACUCGGGAAACUGAGGCUAAACCGCGAUAGACCAAGAUACCUGGAAUGGUUUUUGAUCAAAAUCUAUAUGGCCUUUGGAUUGGACUGCGACCGAUCAGGCUGUUGGUGAGGUAAUGGCCCACCAAACCUGUAACCGGUACGGGCUCUGAGAGGAGGAGCCCGGAGAUGGGUACUGAGAAAAGGACCCAGGCCCUAUGGGGCGCAGCAGGCGCGAAACCUCUGCAAUAGGCGAAAGCCUGACAGGGUUAUUCUGAGUGACUUUCGCUAAGAAAGUCUUUUGACAUCUCUAAAAAUGGUGUAGAAUAAGGGGUGGGCAAGUCUGGUGUCAGCCGCCGCGGUAAUACCAGCACCCCGAGUGGUCGGGACGAUUAUUGGGCCUAAAGCAUCCGUAGCCGGUUUUACAAGCCCUCCGUUAAAUCCAACUGCCUAACAGAUGGGCCGCGGAGGAUACUAUAAGACUAGGAGGCAGGAGAGGCAAGCGGUACUCAGUGGGUAGGGGUAAAAUCCGUUGAUCCAUUGAAGACCACCAGUGGCGAAGGCGGCUUGCCAGAAUGCGCUCGACGGUGAGGGAUGAAAGCUGGGGGAGCAAACCGGAUUAGAUACCCGGGUAGUCCCAGCUGUAAACGAUGCAGACUCGGUGAUGGACUAGCUUAAUGCUAGUCCAGUGCCGCAGGGAAGCCGUUAAGUCUGCCGCCUGGGUAGUACGGUCGCAAGACUGAAACUUAAAGGAAUUGGCGGGGGAGCACCACAAGGGGUGAAGCCUGCGGUUCAAUUGGAUUCAACGCCGGG
rnacentral:rRNA from 1 species